UACAGAGGUCACAAGCGUUAUCCGGAUUUAUUGGGCGUAAAGCGUUUCGUAGGUGGGUUCAUAAGUUAUUUUUCAAAUCCCAAGGCUCAACCUUGGAAAGGGAGAUAAUACUGUGAGUCUUGAUUUUUGGUGGGGUAUCUGGAACUGAUGGUGUAGUAGUGAAAUACGUUGAUAUCAUCAGGAACUCCAAGGGCGAAGGCAGGAUACUAACCAAUUAAUGACACUGAGGAACGACAGCUAGGGGAGCGAAAAGGG
rnacentral:rRNA from 1 species